CAUUCCUUCCCCUGGGCUAAUUAAAUCUGGCGUUUGAGACGUUAAAAGCAUCCGGAUGUAAAAACCGCGCUGAAGGCACCGUCGGCUUCUGGUGGUGACUUCAGGGGUGGCCCUUUCUUCCUCCUUCCCAAGCUCCACCGCAGGAGCGGUGGGCGCAGGAAACCAGGCAGGAAUAGGGUGAUGUGGAGAGGGGCUGAGCAGGGGCGAAGCAGAAGAGCUCCUGGGCAGCGCUCGGUCCUCGUCCUGCCCCGAGGGGAAGGCUCAGCUGGGAGGAGCAGAUGCGAUCUGGGUUUUUAUCGGUGUCAUAAGGCCAGUGCCAUCAUUCAUAGUUAUUACCAUGAAGUGCUUUUGUUAGAUACUUUCCCAACGGCUUCCUUUUUGGUGGUGUUGGGGAUGUUACUCCUCUCUCUUGCUAAUAGAGAAACGUGUGGGUAGAUGAUUCUGCUUCCAAAAUUCUUUUUGGCUGCUCAAAAGUGACAAACUCAUGCCUUCCUUUUCCCCCUUCCUUGGGGUCCCCUGCUCUCCUUUGGCCCUUCCUGCUUUACAUAAAUUGCUUAAGUUCUGUGGCUUGUUGAUCUAAGGUAAAUUAGGGUGGUAGUCACUGAUUAGGGAGAGUAGUUGGAGGCUUAACUAGAUGUUAAUGAUUGUAAAAGGCCUUGAACCAUGUAAGGGCUGUGCAGCCAUUCUGCAUUAAAGAGCACAGCCUUACACGUGAAUCCGCUUUAGUGCGGCCCUUGUGGUGUGUCUGUGCUAGAUUCUGUUAGCAAAACCGGCAGAAAGAAGUGAAAAUGUUUUCUGAAUGGUUGCUCCAAGUCAGCAUCAAGGGUUUCCACGUUCUUCUGUUUAGGAAUUACAACGUGACGAGACACCGAUGCAGACUCACCUUUGUCUAAAUGCAUCAUUCUGUUCGCUGUGGCUUAAUAAAAACGAGGAAAUUAGCAGAAGCGGAGAUCUGAAUUUCAGAACGAUCGUAACUAAUGCACGGAAGCAGCUGAAAAGAUGCCGAACGGCUCACUCACAGCUUGUUGGAGGGCCAGGAAUAGCGUGCGGUCACAGGAUAAUUAUCGUCUGCUGCUGCAUAAAUUGUGGGUGUCCUUAUGGAAAAAGGUUGAUGUAAUUGCGUUAAUUUUAUCUGCUGGGCAGUGCUGCUGUUCCUGCUGGUUCUUCUGGGAAGCAGCUGAUGAGCAGGGCCAGACCUCCCCCAAAAAGUCACUUCAUUUUAUUGUAUUGUAUUUUUUUCUUAAAUGAAUGUGAAAGGUUUCUGACCCCUUUGCCCGGCUGGUCUGUGAGUUUGGGGUUGCUGGAGUUUUGCCAGGGAGAAUUUCCUUGUCAUCCUCCCAGCCAUUCUAGGUCCGGUCUGAUGUGCCAGCAUAAGGCUGGAUCUUUCUCCUCGUUCUUCGGCACUGGAGGAUGCGGAAGCCUCUUAAAAAUAUGUAUCUCCAAUCACCCGGAAAAUAGCAUUAUAAAAUGAUCUGCCCAGACUGUUUUUACAGUGGUUUUGCUGCAGACUUCAGAUUGUUGAUGCCUCGGUAGGAAAUGAUCGUUAACCUUAGUAAUGUGCCACUCAAAGGAAAUUGUGCAGAAGUCAAGAAGGUUUCAGACCUUGCCUGACUUGGGGUCCCUCAUUAGUUUGACAGAUGUUGCCUGGAGGUUUUCAGGUGCUGGUGAGUAGCAAGAAUCUUUCUGCUGCUGUUUUGCAUGACAUUAGUUAUAUCUUGAUCAGGCUCCUCCUGAAUAAAUGCCAUUUCUUGGCUGAUUUCACGGGGAGUUCUGUGGGGAGGGGAUUCAUCGGCUGUAGGGGCACAUAAAGAAUGUUCUGCUAUUCCUGUUCUGCUUGCAAAUGGCCACUUGACUUUCCCAGGCUGUAAAUUCAGCCUGGUUUACUAAUGCGUAAUUACUUUAUGAUCUUGUGAUAAUACAAGGACCAGCAGAAGCUGUUUGCGUAGUUGUUUGCUUUCCCAUAUAUUUAGAGAGGGUUUGAAUGCUCUGAAUUAGGUUGUGACUUUAUCCGGUAUGAUAAGAUGAUCAGUACUUACAAUUCCAGCCUUUUUCUUUAAUACAAAAUGUGCAUUUCUAGGGUGAACUAUCUUGUAGGUGCAGUUGUUUCACCAUCUAAUUCUUACAGCUGGCUUAAUUUAGGCCUCUGUGGGAAAAAGAGAGUCUUGGGCUGGUUCUAGAGCCUUCCAUGGGUUCUCAUGAUGGUGAUGAUGUGACCCUGCCAGAAAUGAUCGCGCCAUCAUUACGAAUCAGGUUAAUACCGAGCUCUGCGCCUGGCGUGUGUUACCCAGCUGCGCAGUUAAAUGUCGGGGCUCGCCGGGCUGUUUGUUCUCAGAGCUGCAGGGAGGGAUUGGGUUCAUUUCUUUGAUUUUUGUGGUGCAUUUUGGUUCUCGUGACUUUUGGUCUUUCCACGUUUGCGUUUGCCCUCAGGUACUGGGAAUGUUCUGGGGUGUGUAUGUAGGAUAGCGUGGGGGUUUUGUGUGCCUUCUGUAUUAAAUGUCGGUUAUAUUGCUGUUGUCUGCUCUUGCGGCAGACUUUUGCUUUUAUAUUUCAGUUGCGGAGCCUUUAGACUGUCCGUGCAGACACUUGCAUGUGCAGGCUCGCUACUGCCCUGCUUUGGGGCGUGCUGUGAGUAAAUGUCACGUUUGUUCCUCUCUUGCAGCUGGCGGUAACCCCGCUGCCUGUGCGGUGGGGGGUGCUGAUGUGCAGGGAGCGGCUUUCUGUGCUGCUCUGUGUCCGUUUGGUCUCUUCUGCAGUAGAAUCAACGAAUCCUUUUGGUUGGAAAAGCCCCUCAAGAUUGAGUCCAACCAUUCCCCCACCCCUGUCCCUGCCCCAUGUCCUGAGAACCUCAUGUCCGUCUGUCCAGCCCUCCAGGGAUGGUGACUCCAGCACUGCCCUGGGCAGCCUGUUCCAAUGCCCCACAGCCCUUUGGGGAAGAAAUUGUUCCCACAUCCAACCUCAGCCUCCCCUGGCGCAACUUGAGGCCGUUUCCUCUGCUCCUGGCACUUGUUCCUGGGGAGCAGAGCCCGACCCCCCUGGCUCCAAGCUCCUUUCAGGCAGUUCAGAGAUCAGAAGGUCUCCCCUCAGCUCCUGUUCUCCAGCUGAACCCCCAGGUCCCUCAGCCGCUCCAUCACACUUGUGCUCCAGCCCCUCACCAGCUCCGUUCCCUUCUCUCCACUCGCUCCAGCACCUCAAAGUCUUUCUUUUCCUCAGGGGCCCAGAACUGCCCCCAGGAUUUGCGGUUUGGCCUCCCCAGUACCCAGCACAGGGACGGUCGCUGCCCUGGGCCUGCUGGCCACACCAGUGCUGGUACCAGCCAGGUUGCUCGUGGCCUUUUUGGCCAGGUGAUGCUGCCUGGCUGCAAAGGGUGAUCUCAGUAUGUGUUAUAUGUGAUCUUAUGUUCUUUUCCACUCCAGAAACAGAAAACACAAGCACUGCUGUUGGGAGAUUAUACAUAUAUAGAGAUUUAUUCCCUCGCAGAGUGUAAAACCCAACCUGGAGGCAGGGUUUCUAAAGCAUACAGGGUGGUAGCACCCUGUGUAGCUCCGUGGCCUGCGUAGUGUUUGACUUCUCUUCCAGUCCUGGAAGAAAGGAGGGGAGGGUACAGUAUGUCCAGUGGCAAAUACGACAGCUAAUUUUAAGCUCCAGACAUCUGCCUGCUGUAAACUGUAUUGAGAUCACCCAACUUAUUUUACCCAAGCAGCUGAGUAACAUCUGACAGCUGAGAAUCUAGACUGGAUUUCAACCAAAAAAAAAUGCUGGAUAAAGGCACCGUGUCCUGUUAAAGAAAAAGCCUCUGCAAGACUUGCUUGGUAAAGGCAGGCAGGAAAUGGAGUAGGAGUGAGGGUCGAGAGAGCAAGUCCGCCACCUGCUUUAAUGCUGGAUUUCUGUCGCUGGGUAAGCUCAGGCGGUCUGGUCCCUAACAGCAAUAUUGCUUUGAGCACCCGUCCCUGUGCGUGCAGCAUCCGUGCCCCCACCCCUAGACCCCAGAGCUGCCGUUUGGGCGAUUCCCACGAGUUUUUUGAUGAUUUAGAUAAGGAGGUGUGUAUAUCUGGUUAGGAGCUGGAGUAGGAGGGGUGGAAACCAGGAUCAGCGCUGGAGCGGGGCAGCGUGUGGAAGCUCCGAGGAGGAGGAGGCAGAAGUUUUUAGGCAAACGUGGGAUUGUGUCAGCGGUGCGCGGGAUGGCAGCUCCUCACAGCGCGGCUGUUCUGGGAUGGAGCAGGGGCUGAGUGUUCCGUGGGGAGCAGAGGGAUGGAGCAGGGGCUGAGUGUUCCGUGGGGAGCAGAGGGAUGGAGCAGGGGCUGAGUGUUCCGUGGGGAGCAGAGGGAUGGAGCAGGGGCUGAGUGUUCCAUGGGGAGCAGAGGGAUGGAGCAGGGGCUGAGUGUUCCACGGGGAGCAGAGGGAUGGAGCAGGGGCUGAGUGUUCCACGGGGAGCAGAGGGAUGGAGCAGGGGCUGAGUGUUCCACAGGGAGCAGAGGGAUGGAGCAGGGGCUGAGUGUUCCGUGGGGAGCAGGGGCUGAGCGUUCCACGGGGAGCAGAGGGAUGGAGCAGGGGCUGAGCGUUCCACAGGGAGCAGAGGGAUGGAGCAGGGGCUGAGUGUUCCACAGGGAGCAGAGGGAUGGAGCAGGGGCUGAGUGUUCCCUGGGGAACAGAUGGAGCUUUGUGAUGGUUCCUGCUCCCACUAUGCAGGCAGGGAGCUCCUUGUACCGCAUCCCUGGGCCGCGAGGGGAGCAGCAGAAUGUCCGGCUGCUGCUUGUAUUGGUGGCAGGUCCUCUCAUGUGACAGAGGCCAGAGCACUUGAAGCAUUAGGGGUCCCAACAAAUGUUAUAAAAGAGAAAACCCAAAAUGAGUAGCUCGCAAGGAGAGAGUUCCUCCAGACAGUCCCUCCCCGUGAGCCUGGGCUGCACACGCAGUGGAAGACAAGCCUCUUCCCGACAUCCUUGGUGCAACUCUUCCCCGUCUUCUGCGUCCAGCGUGGAGAGGCCCUGAGAAGACCCCAAGCUCCACUCACAAAGGGUUCCAUUCAGCCCCGAUCGUAUUUUUAGCAAAGCACGAUUCUUCUUCGGUUUCAAAAGUAGCAAGUGGGGAAUGCAGCCUACAUCAGUGCGAGAUGCAGAAUGAGCUCAUUCAGGCUGCAGCAUCUGUUUGGAUUGAAACAAUUACCAGUGAUAUCAGGAGAUCUGGGUAUUUUUCUUGUUAUAACCAGAGGCUGUGGUAAACAAGAGCUGUUUUCUCUGUGUGCUUUCUGUGUCAGUGGAGCACAACCGCGGGGAGAUGCUUCUGCUCUGUGUCUAGGAUCGCAGACCACAAGUCUCGCAUUUCCAGCAAGCGUCUUUGCCUCCGUGCUUUGGAGGCAAUUUGCUUUUUCUUUUACAAUCUUUAAAGCCACGUGAGCGAUAGAAAUACCUGCGCGCUUCCUUUCUUCUAGCGUUAUCCGAGGCGCUGGGACUUGUUGAUAUAUCAAUCUGUGUUAAAGUAAACGCUUAAAAGGAAAAUGGACCAAUAAAAAGGAGAGUAGAACACA